AAGUGAGCUUUAUUUCACCUGUAGUUUUUCUAGUAUAAGUUAGCCAUAACCUAGAGAUUAAGGUUUGACAAUCUAAAUUUGAUUCUAUGAAGGGAAUGAGGAUGACAGAACAGAGACAAUAGGGAAUGGCAAAUCUUCGGAGGUUUGAUGAUGCCACUGCUUAAUUGGAGUUUUUGCCAUACAAGGAGGAACAACUAAGCUGGAAUUAAUGGUACAUCUUUGGAAAGACCAUUAUAGUUGGAGCUUUAACUACACAAAAGAGGAGGAACAAAGAUAGUGCUGUUGAAUAUUGCAGUGAAAAUUUCAAUCAUGGAGUUUUGAGAUUUCAAUGCAUUAGCAGAAAAGCUUGAGGGGUUUCAAGUUAAGAUUUCAUAAAAAA